rfam:Haemonchus contortus, ISE/inbred ISE, WGS project CAVP01000000 data, contig: Hcontortus_41601
GGCACAAACUUGAAGUAGAAUAAUUGGGUAUGGUCAGCUGAUCCUAGCAAUCUGUUCUACUUCAAGUUUGUGCUC